CAAGUAGAACGCUGAAGGAAGGAGCUUGCUCUUUCUGGAUGAGUUGCGAACGGGUGAGUAACGCGUAGGUAACCUGCCUGGUAGCGGGGGAUAACUAUUGGAAACGAUAGCUAAUACCGCAUAACAGUAGAUGUUGCAUGAUAUCUGCUUGAAAGGGGCAAUUGCUCCACUACCAGAUGGACCUGCGUUGUAUUAGCUAGUUGGUGAGGUAACGGCUCACCAAGGCGACGAUACAUAGCCGACCUGAGAGGGUGAUCGGCCACACUGGGACUGGGACACGGCCCAGACUCCUACGGGAGGCAGCAGUAGGGAAUCUUCGGCAAUGGACGGAAGUCUGACCGAGCAACGCCGCGUGAGUGAAGAAGGUUUUCGGAUCGUAAAGCUCUGUUGUAAGAGGAGAACGAGUGUGAGAGUGGAAAGUUCACACUGUGACGGUAUCUUACCAGAAAGGGACGGCUAACUACGUGCCAGCAGCCGCGGUAAUACGUAGGUCCCGAGCGUUAUCCGGAUUUAUUGGGCGUAAAGCGAGCGCAGGCGGUUAGAUAAGUCUGAAGUUAAAGGCUGUGGCUUAACCAUAGUACGCUUUGGAAACUGUUUAACUUGAGUGCAAGAGGGGAGAGUGGAAUUCCAUGUGUAGCGGUGAAAUGCGUAGAUAUAUGGAGGAACACCGGUGGCGAAAGCGGCUCUCUGG
rnacentral:rRNA from 1 species